AAAAAAGAUGUGGUAUGAUUGCCAAUGAGACAACUGUCCACAAGAGACCAAAAUGACACAGACAUUAACACCUAUAGGUCACCGUACGGCCUUCAACAAUGAGCAAAACCCAUACCACAUAGUCAGCUAUAAAAGGCUCCGAUAAGACAAUGUAAAACAAUUCAAACGAGAAAACUAACGGCCUUAUUUAUAUAUAAAAAAGACGAAAAACAAAUAUGUAACACAUAAACUAACGACAACCACUGAAUUACAUGCUCCUGACUUGGGACAGGCACAUACAUAAAUAAUGUGGCGGGG
rnacentral:lncRNA from 1 species